AUUUUACCUGCCAUGGGGUUCGAACCUCUUGAUCUGCCGAAAGCCAGAGACAAUAGAUCAGCUUUUCCUAGCAGAAGAACGAUACAAGCCUAGAUCUUGGUGGUGAAAUGUCGCACAUCGAAUACGUAAUCACGGCCAAGAGCACCAGAAUUGACCGAAAGAGGAAAGUGAUCUAGCAGCAAUACCACUCUAUCUAUUGCAUAGUUGGGUUGCACAAGGGCUGCUGCCAAUCGUUCCAUGCGAACAAUGUUGCGUAAAGAAUAGUGCAUAUAAAAACUGUGAAAUAAAAAUAAAAAGUGAGGAA